AUCAAAGUCGCCAUCCGGAAAACUUUGUGCCCGCUUUGUUUGGCCAGACUGAUCGUGUUCAAUACAUUGGCGUUUCUGUCAAGCGUGGUAUUAUGGAAUAUUACUCCGUUUUUGAGGAAUGAUGGCUCGUCGGCGUUUAACUCAUUGAAUUUGGUCCGAAGGAAGCGACAUUUGGCCAAUAUACUACUACUUAACAAGCGGGAGGAAGAAGUAAACGAAUCGGAAAAAACUCUGGUUCAAAGUCUUUCCAAAUUCCAAGAAGUAUAGUCAAUGACCAAAAUAUAGAAAGUUACUUAGUUUUAUCAAAUGAUCGAAAAUAAAGCGCAUUUCCAUUCUU